rnacentral:rRNA from 1 species
CUAGCGAUACUGCCCGUAAAACGAGGAGGAAGGUGGGGAUGACGGUCAAGUCAGCAUGGCCCUUACGCCCUUCGGGCUACACACACGCUACAAUGGGUGAUACAACGGGUUGCGAGAGAGCGAUCUGGAGCUAAUCCCUAAAAUCAUCCUCAGUUCGGAUUGCAGGCUGAAACUGCCUGCAUGAAGUUGGAGUUGCUAGUAACCGCAGGUCAGCACACUGCGGUGAAUACGUUCUCGGGCCUU